GAUGAACGCUGGCGGCGUGCCUAAUACAUGCAAGUCGAGCGAACAGACGAGGAGCUUGCUCCUCUGACGUUAGCGGCGGACGGGUGAGUAACACGUGGAUAACCUACCUAUAAGACUGGGUUAACUUCGGGAAACCGGAGCUAAUACCGGAUAAUAUAUUGAACCGCAUGGUUCAAUAGUGAAAGACGGUUUUGCUGUCACUUAUAGAUGGAUCCGCGCCGCAUUAGCUAGUUGGUAAGGUAACGGCUUACCAAGGCAACGAUGCGUAGCCGACCUGAGAGGGUGAUCGGCCACACUGGAACUGAGACACGGUCCAGACUCCUACGGGAGGCAGCAGUAGGGAAUCUUCCGCAAUGGGCGAAAGCCUGACGGAGCAACGCCGCGUGAGUGAUGAAGGCCUUCGGAUCGUAAAACUCUGUUAUUAGGGAAGAACAAAUGUGUAAGUAACUAUGCACGUCUUGACGGUACCUAAUCAGAAAGCCACGGCUAACUACGUG
rnacentral:rRNA from 1 species